rnacentral:rRNA from 1 species
UUUUAUGAGAGUUUGAUCCUGGCUCAGGAUGAACGCUGGCGGCGUGGAUAAGGCAUGCAAGUCAAACGGUACGAUGUCCGCAAGGAUGUCGUGCAGUGGCGAACGAGUUAGUAAUACCUUGGUACGUACCCCGAAGUCGGGCAUAAUUAGCCGAAAGGCUAACUAAUUCCCGAUAGUCUCGCAAGAGUAAAGUCGCAAGACGCUUUGGGAGCGGCCUAGGUCCUAUCAGCUUGUUGGUGAGGUAACGGCUCACCAAGGCUAUGACGGGUAGGGGGUGUGAGAGCACGGCCCCCAACGACGAAACUGAGAUAAAAUUUGUCUCCUUUGGUGGCAACACUAAAGUAAAAAAUCUAGCUUAUAACGGUGAAAUCUUUACUGUGGAUAAUAAAUCUAUAGAACAUGUGGGGAGUGUGAUAUAAUACCCCUUAUGGAGACAACGCCGUGGGAAGUUAAUAGUAAAUAUGUAUCUGAUGCUUAUAUCGCUGGUUUUCUUGACGGCGAUGGUUCAAUUGUUGUGGGCAUAGAGAAGAGGCCAGAUAGAAGGAGAUUUCCUUUUCGUGUCAGGCCCAAAAUAUCCUUUUCUCAACAUUCAAGACAUAAAAAUUUACUCAUAUUAUUACAAGAAGCAUUGGGCAAAAUAGGCAAUAUCAGAUACAUUAAAUCUCAUAACCUUUGCGAUUUAGUAAUCGCUAAACGAUCAGAUGUCAAAAAGACACUGGAACGUUUAUUGCCCCAUCUGAUACUAAAAGAAAGGCAAGCGCGAAUUAUGCUUGGAAUGAUAGAAGUUUUUGAACAAGGAAAAGUAAACAUUCGCAGUUCCCUUUCUGAUAAAGAUUACGAAAAAUUAUUCGCGAUGGGUAACGAAAUAAGAAGUAUCAACUCUGGCACCGGAGGAAAGAAAAAAUAUGAGAUUAUUAACCCCGUAACGACUUAAUCGUAUUAUACGAUUAGAUGAUUUCUUUUUAGAAAUUAUAAUAUGCUAGCCCCAUUCUUUUUUGAAUUUGAAUGGGUGAAGACAUAGUCUACACCACAAGUGAUUGUGGAAAAAUGUGACGGUUCGUACACCUACGGGUGGCAGUAGCCGAGAAUAUUCGACAAUGGGCGAAAGCCUGAUCGAGCGACGCCGCGUGCAGGAAGAAGGCCUUCGGGUUGUAAACUGCUUUUGCGUGGGAAGAAUCCCGCUUAUGCGGGAGUGACGGUACCACGAGAAUAAGGGGUUGCUAACUCUGUGGACUCAUUUAGAGUCGGCGCAGAG